rnacentral:tRNA from 1 species
GCGCCCGUAGCUCAGCUGGAUAGAGCAUCAGACUUCUAAUCUGAGGGCCGCGAGUUCGAAUCUCGCCGGGCGUACCA